CUGCAUAGGUUUUAGGAGAAAAUUGAGCUACUCCUGGCUGGGAGUAAACAAAAAAAACAAAAAAAGUCGGACAAAAAAGUCAGAAAACACUUGGACACUCCAAAUAAAUGGAAGUACUGUGUGGAGAAAGUUUACAGUUUGUGGCCUGGUUAUCUGGACACUUUGCCACCACAAAGAAAAACCGUUUCAGUCUGAAUACUAUUUGCAGAAUGGCAGAAACGAUACAGACUCCUCCACUGAUGAAGAGAUUGGUCAACACAUCAAACUGAGGCAUAACGACGAGCACCAGGACUGAGGCUGUACAAAGCUCCUGAAGGCACACCUCCACAGUGAUUUAAGAAACACCAGGAAGUUGGGGAAGACCAGACAGAAAACCAGCAUCAGCAUGUA